UAUUCUCAAACGCAAUGAGGUGAGCGAGCAGCACGUGAAGGCAACACCAGUAUGAGCGUGAAUGGAGGAGAGGUUCCCUCAGGCAGUAAAACCGAUGCAGACACUCAAGCCGGAAGUACUGUUGCAGACGCACUUCAUCUGACAAAUGGCUGCGCUGAGAUGCAGAAAUAACCAUGAAGUCAGAAAAGGCAGCAGAGCGUCACGUCACUGAUGAGAAACAGAACACGAAAGACCAAGAGACAACGCACAGUCAUUCCUGUCAAUCACAUCCACACGCUCCAUCCUCAACCAUCUCUGUCAUCAUCAUAUCAUUCCCAUCCGCUAUUGAUUCACCUUCCUGGAAAGAAAACUGCCCAUAACGUCACACAGCUUAAAUGAAGAGCCGACACCAGCCUCCACACAAAACACUG